CACUAGGCUACCUGCAGUCGAGCGGUAACAUUGGUAGCUUGCUACCAGAUGACGAGCGGCGGACGGGUGAGUAAUGCUUAGGAAUCUACCUAGUAGUGGGGGAUAGCUCGGGGAAACUCGAAUUAAUACCGCAUACGUCCUACGGGAGAAAGCAGGGGAUCUUUGGACCUUGCGCUAUUAGAUGAGCCUAAGUCGGAUUAGCUAGUUGGUGGGGUAAAGGCCUACCAAGGCGACGAUCUGUAGCUGGUCUGAGAGGAUGAUCAGCCACACCGGGACUGAGACACGGCCCGGACUCCUACGGGAGGCAGCAGUGGGGAAUAUUGGACAAUGGGGGGAACCCUGAUCCAGCCAUGCCGCGUGUGUGAAGAAGGCCUUUUGGUUGUAAAGCACUUUAAGCAGUGAAGAAGAAGUUAUGGUUAAUACCCAUAAUGGAUGACAUUAGCUGCAGAAUAAGCACCGGCUAACUCUGUGCCAGCAGCCGCGGUAAUACAGAGGGUGCGAGCGUUAAUCGGAAUUACUGGGCGUAAAGCGAGCGUAGGUGGCUUAAUAAGUCAGAUGUGAAAUCCCCGGGCUUAACCUGGGAACUGCAUCUGAAACUGUUCGGCUAGAGUAGGUGAGAGGGAAGUAGAAUUCCAGGUGUAGCGGUGAAAUGCGUAGAGAUCUGGAGGAAUACCGAUGGCGAAGGCAGCUUCCUGGCAUCAUACUGACACUGAGGUUCGAAAGCGUGGGUAGCAAACAGGAUUAGAUACCCUGGUAGUCCACGCCGUAAACGAUGUCUACUAGUCGUUGGGUCCCUUGAGGACUUAGUGACGCAGCUAACGCAAUAAGUAGACCGCCUGGCGAGUACGGUCGCAAGGUGAGACUCAAAUGAAUUGACGGGGGCCCGCACAACGGU
rnacentral:rRNA from 1 species